AUUGCUUUGGCAAUUCAUAUACUAAAAUGAUAGAGAUUGGCAUGGCCCCUGUGCAAGGAUCACAUGCAAAUUUGUGAAGCAUUCCAUAUUUUU
rnacentral:snRNA from 1 species